rnacentral:rRNA from 1 species
CCUACGGGAGGCAGCAGUGGGGAAUAUUGGGCAAUGGGCGAAAGCCUGACCCAGCAACGCCGCGUGAAGGAAGAAGGCUUUCGGGUUGUAAACUUCUUUUGAUAGGGAAGAGCAGAAGACGGUACCUGUCGAAUAAGCUACGGCUAACUACGUGCCAGCAGCCGCGGUAAUACGUAGGUGGCAAGCGUUGUCCGGAUUUACUGGGUGUAAAGGGCGUGUAGCCGGGCUGACAAGUCAGAUGUGAAAUCCGGGGGCUCAACCCUCGAAAUGCAUUUGAAACUGUUGGUCUUGAGUAUCGGAGAGGCAGGCGGAAUUCCUGGUGUAGCGGUGAAAUGCUUAGAUAUUAGGAGGAACACCAGUGGCGAAGGCAGCCUGCUGGACGACAACUGACGGUGAGGCGCGAAAGCGUGGGGAGCAAACAGGAUUAGAUACCCUUGUAGUC